ACACACACACACACACACACACACACACACACACACACACACACACACACACACACACACACACACACACAUAUAUAUAUAUAUAUAUAUUCAUAGAAAAAGCUUUAAACAAGAUAUGCUAAUAUGCUGUAUGGUGGAAAAAUUUCAUUGGACGCUUGCAAUAAUCAAACCAGGUAAUAAAACAAUUCACUCUAUGGACCCUAUGGGAGAACAGACAAAUUCCAUCAAAAAAGAAGAAGUGAAAUGGAAUUGUUACUUACAGCAAAGAUAUGGUGUUUCAGAAAAGUUUGAAAUAUUAACAUUACCACAUGCCAUACAAGCUGAAGUUUGCUGAAAGUUAUACAAAUGGAGAAGUAUUUGUGCGUGUCUUUCCACAUGAAGAAGUUAAUGCAUACAGAAAGAGAGAUAAAGGAGAUUUGUCAGAAGAGUUGGCAGAAUAGUUUGUGUCGCAUUUGUGGAAGUGAAAUUGGUCCAAAAACUAGAAAGAAUCAAAAAAAAAAUUAAAUGAAUCAAAUGUGAUAUAUGCAUUUAAAUCGAUGGUACUGUAUGAGAUGCAUUGUUUUUAGAAAUGAAACUUUAUUUUGUUGUGAACAUAUUUAUAUACAAAUGUAUUAAAUAUAUAUAUUAACUAAUAAAUGAAACUUUGAAAUUGCAGUCAU
rnacentral:misc_RNA from 1 species